CGACUUAUAUUCUGUAGCAAGGUUAACCGUAUAGGGGAGCCGGAGGGAAACCGAGUCUUAAUUGGGCGUUAAGUUGCAGGGUAUAGACCCGAAACCCGGUGAUCUAGCCAUGGGCAGGUUGAAGGUUGGGUAACACUAACUGGAGGACCGAACCGACUAAUGUUGAAAAAUUAGCGGAUGACCUGUGGCUGGGGGUGAAAGGCCAAUCAAACCGGGAGAUAGCUGGUUCUCCCCGAAAGCUAUUUAGGUAGCGCCUCGUGAAUUCAUCUCCGGGGGUAGAGCACUGUUUCGGCUAGGGGGCCAUCCCGGCUUACCAACCCGAUGCAAACUGCGAAUACCGGAGAAUGUUAUCACGGGAGACACACGGCGGGUGCUAACGUCCGUCGUGAAGAGGGAAACAACCCAGACCGCCAGCUAAGGUCCCAAAGUCAUGGUUAAGUGGGAAACGAUGUGGGAAGGCCCAGACAGCCAGGAUGUUGGCUUAGAAGCAGCCAUCAUUUAAAGAAAGCGUAAUAGCUCACUGGUCGAGUCGGCCUGCGCGGAAGAUGUAACGGGGCUAAACCAUGCACCGAAGCUGCGGCAGCGAACGUAUCACCCAAGACAACUUUACGGAGUUGACGAUUGACGGAGCGAAGCGACGUCAAAGCGUUCAUUAAAGUCGAGUUGGCUUAGGGAUACGUUCGUUGGGUAGGGGAGCGUUCUGUAAGCCUGUGAAGGUGUGUCGUGAGGCAUGCUGGAGGUAUCAGAAGUGCGAAUGCUGACAUAAGUAACGAUAAAGCGGGUGAAAAGCCCGCUCGCCGGAAGACCAAGGGUUCCUGUCCAACGUUAAUCGGGGCAGGGUGAGUCGACCCCUAAGGCGAGGCCGAAAGGCGUAGUCGAUGGGAAACGGGUUAAUAUUCCCGUACUUGGUGUUACUGCGAAGGGGGGACGGAGAAGGCUAUGUUGGCCGGGCGACGGUUGUCCCGGUUUAAGCGUGUAGGUGUGUGUUCCAGGUAAAUCCGGUU
rnacentral:rRNA from 1 species